rnacentral:rRNA from 1 species
CAGCCGCCACGGUAAUACGUAGGUGGCAAGCGUUGUCCGGAAUUAUUGGGCGUAAAGGGCUCGCAGGCGGUUUCUUAAGUCUGAUGUGAAAGCCCCCGGCUCAACCGGGGAGGGUCAUUGGAAACUGGGAAACUUGAGUGCAGAAGAGGAGAGUGGAAUUCCACGUGUAGCGGUGAAAUGCGUAGAGAUGUGAGGAACACCAGUGGCGAAGGCGACUCUCUGGUCUGUAACUGACGCUGAGGAGCUAAAGCGUGGGGAGCGAACAGGAUUAGAUACCCCAGUAGUCCCUGUCUCUUAUACA